rnacentral:lncRNA from 1 species
GGAGAGCCAGCCCUCCGUGCCCAGAGCCAGAGGGGGCCCCUCACCUCUGAAGCUCCUUUCUGGGGCUGGGGGGGAGGGGGUCUCCUCAGGCCCUGGGCUGAGGCUCCACCUGAAACCCCCAAAGGUGGCGUGGGGGCCAGUGUCUGCUGACGCAAGAGUGAAGGCAGGGUGCUGGGCCCCCGGAUGGAGGGGGCGUGGGCAGCGCACCUGCCCUGGGUGGGGGCGCUCGUAGGAGCAGCCCGGUCCACACCAUCGAAUGAAAUGUUUUAGCCCCAAAACAGGGAUGUAACCCGAAGGCAAGAUUACUGAGACGGGAGAGUCUGGAUAACUUGCAGUCCUGCUCAGCCUCCAUCCGCCGCGGCGAGCACGGCUGUCCCCUGGCUCCUCGGGAGACUCUGUGGCCGCCCCGGCCAGAUGCUCCAGUGGGAUGAGGGGACCAGCCGCCCGGAACCCAGAGGAGGCCUGAGGAUGAGGCGCUUGGGUGUCAGGUCAAAGGGGCCAGGAUCGAGCUGCUGCUUAUUUUCACAGGUUGAGAGGUUCCUGGAGGCGGCAGCUGGGCUGGCAGUACAGCACCUCGGAUGCUGCGCACGGCUUCUGGGCCUCAGCCCCGCGUCUGUAGUGGGCCCAGGCCGGGCAGGGUGCAGCGGGGUCAGGCUGACACACACACCUCCAGUGAGAAGCGCCUGGGACGGGCACUCACUGGCUCCGCCCGUUUCCACCGUACACACCUCACAGCGGGACGGCCACAAACCCAACACCACGGGAACCUUCAUUUCUGGAGAUUCAAGUUACCACCUGGAACUGCUGCCUUAGCCCAGGAUUCCUGCUCCCACCCACCUCCUCGGCUAUUUCUACAGGGUCCUGCCACACACUGUCAAUCGUCACAGCCACGCCGUCUCACCCAGCUGUUUGAGACCAGUUAAGAACUGUGCAGGCGCUGGCUCGCAUCAUGACGUCACUACCGUUACUGCUCCUGGUCUGUUGGUUGGUUUGUUUUGCUUUUUAGGGCUGCACCUGCGGCACACGGCGGCUCCCAGGCGAGGGGUUGAAUCGGAGCUGCAGCCGCCGGCCUACGCCACAGCCACACCAGAUCCGAGCCACGUUGGCGACCUACACCACAGCUCCGGCAACACCGGAUCAUUAACCCACUGAGCAAGUGAAGGGAUCGAACCCGCAACCUCAUGGUUCUAGUCGGAUUCGUGAACCGCUGAGCCACAACGGGAACUUCCCUUUUUUUUUAACUGUGGAUUUGGAUUACCAUCUGGGGUCACCUGCUUUCAGCCUAAAGCGCUUCAGUACUUUUUGUAAGGCAAGGCCACUAGCAACAAGUUCUUUCAGUUUUUGUGUAUCUGAAGCAUCUUUAAUUCACUUCCAUUUUGAGAGACGGCUUUGCUGGGUAUGGGAUUCUUGGCUUUUUUCUGACAACGUGGAGUCACCCCCAUCCCCCGACCCCCUGCCAGUGGCCUCCACUCUUCCUGACGUGAAGUCAACUGCUAAUCUUAUUGGGUGUCUUUCGUGACAAUGGGUCAUUUUUCUCUUGCCGUUUACAGGAGAGUUUGUUUGUGGAUUCUUUUGUAUUUGUCUUCCUUGGCGUUCAUGAGCCUGCUGGACUUGUAGAUGAAUGUUUUCUGGAACCUUGGGAAAUGUUCAGUCCGUUUCUCGAAGUAUUUUUCUGUCCCCUGCUCUCUCCCUCGCUCCCGGAGCGCCCAUCACGUGUGUGUGGUGUGCUCAGCGGGGUCUCCCACUUUCUCCCUUGGCCCCUUCUUUGAAUUUGCAUUAACGUCAUUCUUUCUCUGCUAGUUCACACCUACUG